rnacentral:rRNA from 1 species
GAAGCGGCAAGAGCUCAAAAUUUGAAAGCAUGGCUCNUUCGGGGUCCGCAUUGUAAUUUGCAGAGGAUGCUUCGGGAGCGGUCCCCAUCUAAGUGCCCUGGAACGGNACGUCAUAGAGGGUGAGAAUCCCGUAUGGGAUGGGGUGUCCGCGCCCGUGUAAAGCUCCUUCGACGAGUCGAGUUGUUUGGGAAUGCAGCUCUAAAUGGGUGGUAAAUUUCAUCUAAAGCUAAAUAUUGGCCGGAGACCGAUAGCGCACAAGUAGAGUGAUCGAAAGAUGAAAAGCACUUUGAAAAGAGAGUUAAAAAGCACGUGAAAUUGUUGAAAGGGAAGCGCUUGCGACCAGACUCGCUCGCGGGGUUCAGCCGGCAUUCGUGCCGGUGUAUUUCCCCGCGGGCGGGCCAGCGUCGGUUUGGGCGGUCGGUCAAAGGCCCUCGGAAGGUAACGCCCCUAGGGGCGUCUUAUAGCCGAGGGUGCAAUGCGACCUGCCUAGACCGAGGAACGCGCUUCGGCUCGGACGCUGGCAUAAUGGUCGUAAGCGACCC